AUUGAACGAUGGCGGCAGGCUUAACACAUGCAAGUCGAGCGAGCGGCGGACGGGUGAGUAAUGUCUGGGAAACUGCCUGAUGGAGGGGGAUAACUACUGGAAACGGUAGCUAAUACCGCAUACAAUCAGAUGUGCCCAGAUGGGAUUAGCUAGUAGGUGGGGUAAUGGCUCACCUAGGCGACGAUCCCUAGCUGGUCUGAGCGGAUGACCAGCCACACUGGAGCUGAGACGCGGUCCAUACUCCUACGGGAGGCAGCAGUGGGGAAUAUUGCACAGUGGGCGCAAGCCUGGUGCAGCCGGGCCGCGGGUGUGAAGAAGGCGUUCGGGUUGGAAAGCACUUUCUGCGAGGAGGCGUUACUCGCAGAAGAAGCACCGGCUAACUCCGUGCCAACAGCCGCGGUAAUUC
rnacentral:rRNA from 1 species